rnacentral:rRNA from 1 species
CCCUUAGAUGUUCUGGGCUGCACGCGCGCUACACUGAUGCGUUCAACAAGUGUUAACCUUGCCCGAUAGGGUUGGGUAAUCUUUUGAAAGCGCAUCGUGAUGGGGAUCGAUGACUGCAAUUGUUAAUCUUCAACGAGGAAUGCCUAGUAAGCGCAAGUCAUCAGCUUGCGUUGAUUACGUCCCUGCCCUUUGUACACACCGCCCGUCGCUCCUACCGAUUGAAUGGUCCGGUGAAGCGUUCGGACCGUGGCCUUUGGACGGUUCGCCGUCUGUUGGCUGCGGGAAGUUCGUUAAACCUUAUCAUUUAGAGGAAGGAGAAGUCGUAACA